rnacentral:rRNA from 1 species
AUUUAUAAUAAGUUAUUGUUAUUGAUUUGUGUAAGUUUUAUUUAAAUAAAGAUAUUUUUGUUUUAUUAUGUUUAAAGAAAAGAUUUAUAUUAUGAUAGAAGAUUAGUAUUGUAAAAGAAUCUAUAAAAAUUAAAAAAGGAAAAUUUAUUUUGUACCUUGUGUAUCAGGGUUAAUUAAUUAAGGUUUAAGAAGGUUAAUAAUCUCGAAUUUAAAGGAGCUAGAUUUUUAUUUAUUUUAUUGUGGAAUAAAUAUUUUUAAUGAAAAUUUGGAAAUGAAAUGUUAUUCGUAUUUAAAGUUAUCUAGUUUUUGAAGAAAAAAAUUUAAUUUUUUUUAAAAAAUAAUUUAAGUUUUAUUUAUUAAUUUUAUGUUAUUUUUAAAAAGAUGCAUUUAGGGAUGAGCUUGAAUGCAAAUUAUUAAAAUUUAUGUUAAUUAAUUUUAUUUUUAGGAUUAGAAGUGUUUAAUGUUAAAAAAAUGUUAUAAUUGGUAUUAAAGUGAAAUAUAAUUUAUAUGGAGUUUAAUUUUUUUAUUUAAAAGAUUAUUUUAAUAUUUUAAGUUUAGUUAAAAUGAUUAAAUUAGUAUAAAAAUUUAUUUUUUGAGUUAAUUUAAAGGUAAACUAAAGGAAUUCGGCAAAUAUAUUUUUCACCUGUUUAUUAAAAACAUGUCUUUUUGAUUAUAAUUUUAAGUCAGCCCUGCCCACUGAAAUUUAAAUGGCCGCGGUAAUUUGACCGUGCAAAGGUAGCAUAAUCAUUAGUUUUUUAAUUGAAAGCUGGAAUGAAGGGGUUAAUGAAAAAAUUACUGUCUCUAGUUUAAUUAAUUAAAAUUUUAUUUUUAAGUAAAAAAGCUUAAAUUUAAUUAAAAGACGAUAAGACCCUUUAGAAUUUGAUAUUUAAUUGAAAUAUUUUUAGUAGAAUUAUAAAUAAGGUAUUUUAUUUGAGUAUUUAAUUGGGGUGAUUAAAAAAUUGAAUAAACUUUUUUUAGAAUAUAAACAAUAAUUAUUGAGUUCUUGAUCCAUUAAUUAUGAUUAUAAGAAUAAAUUACCUAAGGGAUAACAGCGUUAUUUUUUUAUAGAGUUCAAAUCGAAAAAAAAGUUUGCGACCUCGAUGUUGGAUUAAAAUUAAAUUUUGAAGCAGAAGUUAAAAAUUUAGGUCUGUUCGACCUUUGAAAUUUUACAUGAUCUGAGUUUAAACCGGUGUGAGCCAGGUUGGUUUCUAUCUUUAAUUAAUUUUUAUAUUUUAGUACGAAAGGAUUUAAUAUAAGAUUAAAAAUUUAAUUAUAU